rnacentral:tRNA from 1 species
GGUGGCUCAGUGGUAGAGUGCUUGCCUUGCAUGCAUUAGGCCCUAGGUUCAAUUCCUCAGCACCA